CCUACGGGAGGCAGCAGUGAGGAAUAUUGGUCAAUGGGCGCGAGCCUGAACCAGCCAAGUAGCGUGAAGGAUGACUGCCCUACGGGUUGUAAACUUCUUUUAUAAAGGAAUAAAGUGAGGCACGUGUGCCUUUUUGUAUGUACUUUAUGAAUAAGGAUCGGCUAACUCCGUGCCAGCAGCCGCGGUAAUACGGAGGAUCCGAGCGUUAUCCGGAUUUAUUGGGUUUAAAGGGAGCGUAGAUGGGUUGUUAAGUUAGUUGUGAAAGUUUGCGGCUCAACCGUAAAAUUGCAAUUGAUACUGUCAGACUUGAGUACAGUUGAGGUAGGCGGAAUACGUUGUGUAGCGGUGAAAUGCUUAGAUAUCACGAAGAACUCCGAUUGCGAAGGCAGCUUACUAAACUGCCACUGACAUUGAUGCUCGAGAGUGUGGGUAGCAAACAGGAUUAGAUACCCUGGUAGUC
rnacentral:rRNA from 1 species